rnacentral:lncRNA from 1 species
UUAUACUAAUUUUUUCAAUUUCGUCUCUAAUAUAUUUAAUUGAAUUUUAUUUAGUCAUUUGUUAAUUACAUAUAUUUUCUUCUAAAUUUUUUAUUACAAAAGGGGUCUAUUAUUUGAUAUUGUUUUUUCCCCAUUUUUUUAACUUCACUUUUUAUCAUAAUUAUCCUUUUAAUAAAAUGGACCAAAAAGGUACAUUUUAACUGAUUAAUCAUCACCCCUCCAACCAUUGUUUUCUCCCUCCUCUUCUCUUUUCUUUAAGGAUAAAUUUCAUGACAGUGGAAACUUUAAUGACUAAUAUCACUUUAGUGGCCUACCUUAAAAAAAUUGAAUACCGGAGUUUCAAAAUUAA